UGUAAGCGUAUGCCAAAGUUGUUGCAGUUAAAACGCUCGUAGUCGGAAUUUGGCAGUUCCGGAUGUGUGCACGUCGUGUGCGCACUUCGUGGGGAUUGCUUUUGUGGUCUUGCGUAGGAUGAGGCACUUUUAUUAGUGAACGUCCUCACGCAACCACUUUUUACUGUGAGAAAAUCAGAGUGCUCAAAGCAGGCAUUUGCCGUGAAUGUAUUAGCAUGGAAUAAUAGAAUAGGACUUGGUUCUAUUUUGUUGGUUUGUUGGGACUGAGUAAUGAUUAAGAGGGACAGUUGGGGGCAUUUGUAUUUCGGUGCUAGAGGUGAAAUUCUUAGAUUACCGAAAGACAAACUGCUGCGAAAGCGUCUGCCAAGGAUGUUUUCAUUGA
rnacentral:rRNA from 1 species